rnacentral:lncRNA from 1 species
UUACUUUCAAGAGAUUGGCUUAUCUGUUCCAAUUCAUAAGCACAUGUAAAGGCCAUUAGUAAAUGGUUUUCAAGAUUUAACUUCAUUUUACUUGAUACUGUUACUUUUGUAGCACUAUUUUAAGCAUGUGCAUUAUUUCUCAAGUAUUUAUAUCUUAAAGGUCUGUGAGAAAAGUGAUCAGCAUAUUGAACUGCACACAUUAGCAUUUAGUAAUCAAGGGAAUUUAAUUCAAUUGUUGAAUGAAUCCCACACACACACAUAUAUGUCCUGAUAAAUUUGUCCAGUGGUUGUUUUUUAUGAAAAUGAAAUUUUUGGUUUUGGUUUAAUUGCAACUUUUGGAAGGGGUUUGAAUUGGUAUCAGUUCACAAAUUCUUUGUUUAGCAUAGUUGUGUCAUGAAUUAUUAUCCCUCUUUAAUUGUGGUUAGGGAUAAUUAUUUUAAGAUUGUUUGAGCUUGCCCUUGAUUAGAAUAUAUUUGCUUUGGAGUUUUCAUUUGCGGUGUGGUUCAUCAUCAUGAGUAGCUCCCCUCUACCAUACUGAUAUGUAUUUUUGCUGCAGGCAAAUCUUAGUCUGUUAUUUCAGCUUGGUGGUGGUGCACUUAUUUAUUGUUUUUGUUAGGUUUUGAUUUAUGUUUUGGGAUCUUUCUAUUUAUAUUUAGUCUUAGUCUUUUGUGUACAACUUUUCCUUCAUGGUGUUUUGUUAUUUUUUUAAUAAAUAUUUACUUUACCUUUGAAAUAUUUUUUUUCCAGUUUGUAAUCUUGAGGAAAGAGUACAAAAGGUUGGACAAGCACAUGACAAUAAAGAAAAUGGAGAGGGAGGAUCACCAUCCUCUGUGCGACGGUUCCAUUUCAUCCUCUCAUGUUUGGAGUUUCUAUGUUUUCGUUAUGUUUGUUGAAGUUUCAGAACUGCUUCGACAUAAUCACCACACCAGUCUUUUUUGCCACCAUUCGUGAUCUUCUCUUCAAAUGUGAGUCUUCUUCUUUGACUUUUUUUUGAAGGAUUUAGAAUAUCAUGUAGCUUAAAUUUAAAUAUUUUUUUCUGCAGAUGUUAAAAGCACAUACUUUUAGUCUGAUUGUUCU